UAUAUAUUUUCGAAAGCAGGAGAGAUAAAUGUGCAAGUUUCCAGAGCUGUUUCUGAGCUGCAAGGCGAAAUCAAAACGCCGUCAGAGUGGGCGGGGUUUAGGCAGUCAAAGCUAGAGUCUGUUAGAAAAAAGCGCGAAAGAAGCAUUUGAAUUUCUGUUUCGUCGUCAGUGACAGAAAAGCUAAGUUAAUAGUCGAAUUUACGUUUUCGUAACAGCCUUUAACGUUAAGCUCCGUUAAUAAGUCUAGUAUUUUCAAAUGUGCGUUUCUUUAUACACGGCUUUGUCUUGUGGUUGUAACGUUAUUUAUUUUGUUUUCGUCUUUGUGUUGAUAUCUUUCACUUUUUGCCUGAGAGGAAUUCAGCGAAAACGUUUCCGUGAGAGCGCCGACGGAGACGUUUUUACAGCCUUUAAACGUUAUUAGUAUUAGUUAGCCAACAGUUUACCUAGUUAUCGGUAGCUAGCUAGCCAGGAGAAUAUUUUUCCCCCACCCGUUGCCUCAGCCGGAGUUUCCAUCUUGGGAUCGCGGAUCCUUCACCAACUGCUAAUGGGGAUUCGGGACUUCCAGAAAAUCAGAGACUAACGGUACCACUCCCUCAGAUGUAGAGGCCCAGCUGUCUCCUCCCUAUCACUCCAAGGAUUAUCAUGCUUGGAGAGACUGCAAAAAAAUGGAUGCUGUCGAUCAAGGGGAGGGUCGUAACCCCACCUGGUGCUCACAUGGUGGACUUCACCACUGCCUUGGC